AUUCUAUGGUGAGGGCAAGCCCAGAUAUAUUCUCGGAGCCUUUCCCAAGCCUCAGGAAUGGACUCAAGUGAAGAUUGCUGGAAGUUUGAUAUCUUUCCCCUAAGAGC
rnacentral:snoRNA from 1 species